rnacentral:rRNA from 1 species
AUGAAUUGUAUGAGAUGGAACUGUCGCGGGCUUGGGAACCCGGCGACAGUUCGAGAGCUUCGCAAGAUAGUGAAGCAAGAAGGUCCCGCCCUUCUUUUUGUUAUGGAAACAAAGAUUAGGGGCAAAUGUGUGGAAAAUCUUCAGAAACUUUUAGGUUUCAGUGGUUGUUCCGCUGUAGACAGUGAAGGAUUGAGUGGUGGCAUCGGCUUGUUCUUGAAUCAGGAGGUA